AGUGAACGCUGGCGGUAUGCCUAACACAUGCAAGUCGAACGACAGCACAGUAAUAGCUUGCUCGUACGGGUGGCGAGUGGCGGACGGUUGAGGAAUACAUCGGAAUCUACUUUUUCGUGGGGGAUAACGUAGGGAAUCUUACGCUAUACCCGCAUAGGGCCUACGGGUGAAAGCAGGGGACCUUCGGACCUUGCGCGAUCGAAUGAGCCGAUGUCGGAUUGGCUAGUUGGCGGGGUAAAGGCCCACCAAGGCGACGAUCCGUAGCUGGUCUGAGAGGAUGACCAGCCACACUGGAACUGAGACACGGUCCAGACUCCUACGGGAGGCAGCAGUGGGGAAUAUUGGACAAUGGGCGCAAGCCUGAUCCAGCCAUACCGCGUGCGUGAAGAAGGCCUUCGGGUUGUAAAGCCCUUUUGUUGGGAAAGAAAACCAGCGGGCUAAUACCCCGCUGUUAUGACGGUACCGAAAGAAUAAGCACCGGCUAACUACGUG
rnacentral:rRNA from 1 species